CAGCAGCCGCGGUAAUACAGAGGGUGCAAGCGUUAAUCGGAAUUACUGGGCGUAAAGCGCGCGUAGGUGGUUUGUUAAGUUGGAUGUGAAAUCCCCGGGCUCAACCUGGGAACUGCAUCCAAAACUGGCAAGCUAGAGUAUGGUAGAGGGUGGUGGAAUUUUCUGUGUAGCGGUGAAAUGCGUAGAUAUAGGAAGGAACACCAGUGGCGAAGGCGACCACCUGGACUGAUACUGACACUGAGGUGCGAAAGCGUGGGGAGCAAACAGGAUUAGAUACCCCUGUAGUCCCUGUCUCUUAUAC
rnacentral:rRNA from 1 species